UACGAAGGGGGCUAGCGUUGCUCGGAAUCACUGGGCGUAAAGGGUGCGUAGGCGGGUCUUUUAAGUCAGAGGUGAAAUCCUGGAGCUCAACUCCAGAACUGCCUUUGAUACUGAAGAUCUUGAGUUCGGGAGAGGUGAGUGGAACUGCGAGUGUAGAGGUGAAAUUCGUAGAUAUUCGCAAGAACACCAGUGGCGAAGGCGGACUCACUGGCCCGAUACGUGACGCUGAGGCA
rnacentral:rRNA from 1 species